GCUAGUAAUCGCGGAUCAGCAACGCCGCGGUGAAUGCGUUCCCGGGCCUUGCACACACCGCCCGUCAAGUCAUGAAAGUGGGCAGCACCCGAAGACGGUGGCCUAACCCUUGUGGGGGGAGCCGUCUAAGGUGAGGCUCGUGAUUGGGACUAAGUCGUAACAAGGUACC
rnacentral:rRNA from 1 species